UGAUUAUCUUAUAUCAGUGAGUUUUACCAUGUACGCUUUUGUAAAUGAGGUGAGAAUUUGAGAUUAUAUGCGUACGUGGCAAACCACACAAUGUCUCAGAGUGGAGAAUGAAGCUCUAAUGAUUCUCACACAUUUUUUUAUAGACUACUGAAGGUCUUAACUUGAUUGAUUGCUAUACUGAAGCUUUCCUUUAUCAGUUUAGCAAUGCUUUUAAAUAAUCUUGACUUGUUUUUUACAUGCCUCUGAAGUGUUACAUUAAUAACAGCUGAUAUAAUUACAUCCUUAUUGCAUCAGAGCCUUUGAAUAUGCUGUUCUUUCAUUUAAGCAACAGUUUGAAGUUGAGCUGUUGUGAGCUAUUUAUGCAUGCAUGCUUGGUCUCUCUUAUAAAACAAUAUUAUAAUAUGUUUCUAUAUAGUACUACAGAUUGACCUUCUCUUCCUCUUUUUCUCUGUAACUAUAUUUCUCCCUGUGCCUCAGUUCUUCCCUUUCUCUUUGAGAUCUCACAGAUCAGCUGUUCUUCUGGAGUAGUGCACACUCUUCACAGACAGACUGGCUCAUCCCCAUCUGAUCCUCUGAUGUGCCUCAGGCCGAAUGGCAGGAGUGUGAGCAGAACAGACUGAAUGUGAGUUUCUCCACGUGGGUUACGUGUGUACGCCACCAGCAGACCACCAGCGCCUUUUAUAAUCGCACUCUACAGAAGAGGUACACAUCAAAUCUAUCACAGCCUGAAGAGCACUGGCUUGUAUUUUUGGCUGUUUUAUGGUGUACAGUAUAUCAGAUGUUGACAUGUUUUAAAGCUGUCAUGUUUAAUUUAUUCACCACUGUCUGCACCACACAGAGCUGCAAGUCAUUUUUGGUAACACUUAACAUUACGAUUAUGUUACUUAACAUUAAUAUGCGUAACUUUGCAAGUACAUGUCAUCUUAUUCUACUAACCCUUAUCGAACAAUCUACAAAUAUUGUAAUGAGAGUUAAUUGACAUGUAGUUGCAAAGUUACUUAUAGUUAGUAGAAUGUCUGAAGUGGACUAUCAAAAUAAAGUUUAACCAAAAUGAAUUUUCUGUAAAUAUUGCAUAAAGCAGGGUUAUUAUUGUUAACUAAAGUUAAAACCAUAAAAAAUCCCAUUACUUGAAAUAGAAUAAAAGUUAACCAAAAAAAAAAAAUCUUAUGUUAAACUGCUUUAAAUUACUUUUUUGCCCCCACAUUAAUCUAAACUCCAUACACCAUAAUGGUAAAGCAUGUUUUUAACAUCUUUGCUAAUUUAUUAAAAAUAAAAAACUUAAAUUAUUCCAUUGCAUAAGUAUUCCAACCCUUAUCUGGGACAGUUGAAAUUUAGCUCAGGAGCUUUCAUUUUGCUUGUAGAUGUUACAGCACUUCAAGUGAAGUUAACCUGUUUCAAAUUCAAUUGAAUGGGUAUGAUCUGGGACGGCACACAGUGUUCUUAAUAAAAGGUCUAACAGCUAAUAAUGCAUAUCAGAGCAAAAACCAAGCACUGAGGUCAAAAGAACUGCCUGUAGAGCUCAGAAACAGGUUUGUGUCAAGCCACACAUCUGUGAAAGAGUUCAGGAAAAAAUUAUGCUUCUUUGAAGGGUCACAGAAGCAUGUAGUCUCUGUUAGCCUUAAUGGAAGAAGUUUGGAACAACCAGGACUCUUCCUAGAGCUGGCCUCCUGACC
ensembl:lncRNA